rnacentral:rRNA from 1 species
UACGUAGGGAGCAAGCGUUGUCCGGAAUCAUUGGGCGUAAAGCGCGCGUAGGUGGCCCGGUAAGUCCGCUCUGAAAGUCACAGGCUCAACCUGUGAAAGCGGGUGGAUACUGCCGGGCUAGAGUCCGGAAGAGGCGAGUGGAAUUCCUGGUGUAGCGGUGGAAUGCGCAGAUAUCAGGAAGAACACCCGUGGCGAAAGCGGCUCUCUGGAACGGUACUGACGCUGAGACGCGAAAGCGUGGGGAGCGAACAGG